AUGCCAGGAAAGAGUAGGACGGGGCGCCGCUGGCUGCGUCACCUCGCGACCACCUCGCGGAAGGUAGCCAUCCUGGGCGCGGGUGCCGCGGUCACUUCAGUGGGUGCCUCCUGCCUCGGCAGCCGGUGCUCCACUGCUCGCAAAUCGAAAUAUCCAUGCCGCUUGCCGUGGUUGUUGCCUCACAUGGUUCCUCAUCGAAUCUACACCAGCCGUCGGGGAGAGACCGAAAGAGAGGGCGGCAGCAGGCGUCGGCGGUGUUGUCCUGCAUGUUGCUCAAUAUCCGCACCUUCCACACUGAAUCCACCCAGAUCGACGCAGCACAUACUAGCCCGGUGGUGA
rnacentral:rRNA from 1 species